CUGGGAAGCAGUGGAGGGGAG
rnacentral:miRNA from 1 species